rnacentral:rRNA from 1 species
CACGCCCUAAACGAUGUCAACUGGUUGUUGGGAAUUCACUUUCUCAGUAACGAAGCUAACGCGUGAAGUUGACCGCCUGGGGAGUNACGCGAAAAACCUUACCCACCUUUGACAUGUACGGAAUUCGCCAGAGAUGGCUUAGUGCUCGAAAGAGAACCGUAACACAGGUGC